CCUACGGGAGGCAGCAGUGAGGAAUAUUGGACAAUGGGCGCAAGCCUGAUCCAGCCAUGCCGCGUGCAGGAAGACGGCCCUAUGGGUUGUAAACUGCUUUUGUACGGGAAGAAACCUACCCUCGUGAGGGUAGCUGACGGUACCGUAAGA
rnacentral:rRNA from 1 species